GGAGAGGUGGCUGAGAGGUUUUAAAGCAUCAGUUUCGAAAACUGAUACAUGUAUUAAUGUAUGUGUCGAGGGUUCAAAUCCCUCUCUCUCCA
rnacentral:tRNA from 1 species